AUGAACGCUAGCUACAGGCUUAACACAUGCAAGUCGAGGGGCAGCAUGAACUUAGCUUGCUAAGUUUGAUGGCGACCGGCGCACGGGUGAGUAACACGUAUCCAACCUGCCGAUGACUCGGGGAUAGCCUUUCGAAAGAAAGAUUAAUACCCGAUGGCAUAGUUCUUCCGCAUGGUAGAACUAUUAAAGAAUUUCGGUCAUCGAUGGGGAUGCGUUCCAUUAGGUUGUUGGCGGGGUAACGGCCCACCAAGCCUUCGAUGGAUAGGGGUUCUGAGAGGAAGGUCCCCCACAUUGGAACUGAGACACGGUCCAAACUCCUACGGGAGGCAGCAGUGAGGAAUAUUGGUCAAUGGACGAGAGUCUGAACCAGCCAAGUAGCGUGAAGGAUGACUGCCCUAUGGGUUGUAAACUUCUUUUAUACGGGAAUAAAGUGAGGCACGUGUGCCUUUUUGUAUGUACCGUAUGAAUAAGGAUCGGCUAACUCCGUGCCAGCAGCCGCGGUAAUACGGAGGAUCCGAGCGUUAUCCGGAUUUAUUGGGUUUAAAGGGAGCGUAGGCGGACGCUUAAGUCAGUUGUGAAAGUUUGCGGCUCAACCGUAAAAUUGCAGUUGAUACUGGGUGUCUUGAGUACAGUAGAGGCAGGCGGAAUUCGUGGUGUAGCGGUGAAAUGCUUAGAUAUCACGAAGAACUCCGAUUGCGAAGGCAGCCUGCUGGACUGUAACUGACGCUGAUGCUCGAAAGUGUGGGUAUCAAACAGGAUUAGAUACCCUGGUAGUCCACGCCGUAAACGAUGUCGACUUGGAGGUUGUGCCCUUGAGGCGUGGCUUCCGGAGCUAACGCGUUAAGUCGACCGCCUGGGGAGUACGGCCGCAAGGUUAAAACUCAAAUGAAUUGACGGGGGCCCGCACAAGCGGUGGAGCAUGUGGUUUAAUUCGAAGCAACGCGAAGAACCUUACCAGGUCUUGACAUCCCGAUGAAAAACCCGUAACGGGGUUCCCUCUUCGGAGCAUCGGAGACAGGUGGUGCAUGGUUGUCGUCAGCUCGUGCCGUGAGGUGUCGGCUUAAGUGCCAUAACGAGCGCAACCCUUAUCGAUAGUUACCAUCAGGUUAUGCUGGGGACUCUGUCGAGACUGCCGUCGUAAGAUGUGAGGAAGGUGGGGAUGACGUCAAAUCAGCACGGCCCUUACGUCCGGGGCUACACACGUGUUACAAUGGGGGGUACAGAAGGCAGCUACACGGCGACGUGAUGCUAAUCCCGAAAGCCUCUCUCAGUUCGGAUUGGAGUCUGCAACCCGACUCCAUGAAGCUGGAUUCGCUAGUAAUCGCGCAUCAGCCACGGCGCGGUGAAUACGUUCCCGGGCCUUGUACACACCGCCCGUCAAGCCAUGAAAGCCGGGGGUACCUGAAGUGCGUAACCGCAAGGAGCGCCCUAGGGUAAAACUGGUGAUUGGGGCU
rnacentral:rRNA from 1 species